rnacentral:lncRNA from 1 species
CCAUGAGCCAGGGCUUGAGGAUGGGAAACUGAGGCUCAGGAGAUUGUGACACACUCAAUAUCAUGGCCAAGGUUGUGUGGUGAGCUGAGGACAGAGCUGAGGACAAACCAAGGUUGUGUGGUCAGCUGGCCUUGAUGCUCCAAUGGUUGAGACAUUCCCAAGUGAGUCUGUGCCUCAGGUUUCACUCUGCAGGUGUAUUUGUGCAGGUGGUCUCCAAGAGGACGAGGACUUGUCCAUCCCCAAUGACCUGAAUGGUGCUUGGCACAUAGUGUGUGCUCAACAAACAUUGGCUCAAUGAUUGGCUUGGAUGAUUGAAUAGUUGUCAGUUCCCUACUCAAUGAUUUUCAGUCUUUAAACCCCCUUCUCUGCCUUCCCUGUUCUAUAACACUUAUUGGGUCCCUACUGUGUGCCAAGAACAGGCUAGAGGAAAUGUACUUUCUUUUGGGGUGAUGAAACGCUUUGAAACUAGAUAAAGAUGUGUUUGCCCA